GUUUAAAGAAUUUUGCUGUCCUGCAUAAGCAGACGUAUGGCAGCUCUGACGGGCAAGCCUGUGAGCGAUCCUGCCAACAUUUAACAGCUAGUCGGAGCUAUGUGGGGCCCCAGGAUGUUGAGCAGUGAGAGGCUGGAGCAGGAGCAGGUGAAGAGGGUCCUGAGGGAAAGCCCUGUGCUCCUGCUUCACUCUCCAAGACGUAACAGAAGGAUCAGCCCGGCAUCCAGAGAAGUGCUACUUGCCGGCAGCAGGCCAGACACUCGGACAGCUGGCACCGUGUGUCUCAGUCCUCCUCUUCUCUCUCUGCAUUUAGCGCACAAUACGGCAGUGUGUUCACAGUUUGUUGUCAUCUCUUAAUUGGCAGUGCAAGAAUAGUGAGAACAUCAGAGGCGUCCCAGGAGGAGAACUCUCACCUGGGGCUGCUGACAGAGCCGAGGUGACACAAAAUCUCAAUUUAGAGGAUUUUUGCAAAGAGAAAAAUGUUUCCUUUAAAGAAAGUGUCCCAGGACCUCCUGUCAACUGUGUGUCAGAGAAAAACAGGACUGUAAAUGGGAAGCAAAUUUGCCCUUUUGGUGGAAACUUUGUGGACCUGACCAAUGCUGCCCUCUACUGCCACGCAGCACGAGUCACACGUCCACAAUGAGUGUUCAUAUCACAUCAUUGCCUUUAUGAUGACGUCAGUUUAGUCUCAAAUUAAAUGUCUAUAUGUGUUGGCUCACGCUGUGGCAGUCACACCAUGAUUCCCAUGAAUUAGAUGGACAUACAUACAUUCUUUGAUGGAAAAAGUAGUUAAAAUGGACAAUACGUAGACACCAAAACACUAAAGUAGUAACACUCAAAUAGGUUUUGUUGACAUGUAAUCCACAGUUGCAUCACAGAGGUCACCAUCUAAAGGUGCAGAUGUUUUUCAUACAUUUUUAAGCAUUAUUAUUUCAAACUGGAAGAAAAGAUGAAUUCAUCUUUUGCUGAUUCUAACUGGACUGGGGGACUUACCGAUUGAGAAGGCUUAUUGCAGCAUGGAGACUGUUAAACAGUUAGAUUAUCUCUCCAGAUGUGAUUUAUUGCGAGGAUGUAAAGUCAGCCAAGAGGAGAGAGUUUGUGGAGCUGUGCUCUUUUUUUCUUUUCUCCUUUUUUAAGCACAGGGCUUUGAUUUGAACCUGGACUGCUGCUCAGCACUGUUUUUCACAGAAAAACGUCAACUUUUACAACACGACUGCUCUUGUUCUGUCCUACAGAUGGUCACACAGCAUUUUUCUCAAUUUUUAGUAAGUCUUGAAACAUGUUUAAGAAGACAGAAUGCUGAGGUGCAAAUGAAAACUGCCUCACCAUCCCUCGCUUUCUCGUUUUUAAUAUCAUCAUUAUUGUUCAUUACAUUGCCUUUCUCUUCUUGCAGUGGCCAAGAUGUUUGUUUGAUUUCAGCAGCCUGCAGAUGAAGAUGACUGUGUAUACCCCUAAUGGAACUGAUGCUUGAAAUCAUGUGUAAAAACAUCUCUCUUGACCUUUGACCCCCACCAGGAUGUUGGCCAGAUUAAGGACUCAGUCAAAAAGAAGAUGGCUGAAGUUUAUUCUUGACUCGGUCAGAAUCACUAAAGAAGUGAUUAGCCUCCAGCGCCCAUGAUGUCCAUUAACAUAAGACCCAGUCAUCUUUGAGUAAAACAAACAACUGUCAUGCAGUCAAAGGUUUAAUAGCGCUCAGUUUUAUAUCGUGGCAAUCAAACAAUUUGAAACCGAGAUAUUGUUUCUCAUAGAUUUUACAAAGCUGUGUGAAAACAUAGUCAUUUAUGUUGUAACACUUACACAGAAGUGUGUCUUUUAUUUGGGAAGAGGCACGGGCAGUUUGAUUUACCUGAGAUGUGUGGGACUGUACCUAGAGAGAUCUGACGCAAGAGAACAUGUGAAAUAAUAUCUUGCCAAAUGAGAAACAUCUGAUGAAAACUGAAUUCACUGCAUUUUAUUUUUUUAAAAGAUCUGUUGUAAAUAAAUAUAACUGAACUGGUCAAAAAAAAACAAAAAACAUCAUGGUGACACGACUGAGCCUGUGAAUCAGGAAGAAAACUUACAAACUUACACAUUAAAGUACUUCAUGUUUGAUGAGCUCAGAUGGAGCGCUGUUGAACAUUAAAUGUAUUUGGUUUCUGAGA